ensembl:lncRNA
GACAGGUAGAGAGAGAGAGAGUGAGAGAGAGACAGGUAGAGAGAGAGAUACAGAGAGAGACAGGUAGAGAGAGAGAGAGAGAGAGAGAGAGAGAGAGAGAAAUGAGAUACAGAGAGGGACAGGUAGAGAGAGAGAGAGAAGUAGAGAGAGAGAUACAGAGAGAGACAGGUGGAGAGAGAGAGAGAGAUACAGAGAGAGACAGGUAGAGAGAGAGAGAGAGAGAAUGAGAUACAGAGAGGGACAGGUAGAGAGAGAGAGAGAUACAGAGACAGAGAUACAGAGAGAGACAGGUGGAGAGAGAGAGAGAGAGAGAUGAGAUACAGAGAGGGACAGGUAGAGAGAGAGAGAG